rnacentral:tRNA from 1 species
GGACCCCUAGCUCAGUUGGUAGAGCAACUGACUCUUAAUCAGUGGGUCUAGGGUUCGAGUCCCUAGGGGUCCACCA